UGCUAUCAGCACUUGCGGGAGAGGGGGUGGCGGGGGAGGAGAGAAGGGACUUGGAUGACGGUUUGAAGAGGCGGCAGAGGCUUCGGAAGUGAAGAUGGCGGCGGUUGAUGGUGGUGAAGGCGAUCGCGGGGACGACGUUGGUGGCGUCUGUCGGCAUCACGCACCGCAGACGAUACGUGCAUCGCUCGCUAAGUAUCGUGGAGGCCACGAGCCAUGAAGGACAGCCAAAAGAAAGCUAGAUGAGCAGAAUUUCUCUGGCAGUUUGCUACAUUGAUACCAUGCUCCAGAAUUUGAAAGUGUACAAGAGACCAGAAACAAACUAAGAGACAGGUGAAAAUAUAUAUAGCAAAAGCAGCCAAUUGCAAAGAGCACUGGAGACAAAAUAGGAUUGUCAUAUACGUUCUUCAAAGAUCAGGCAGUGGGAUUGUGGAUCAAGGACAUCUAAGACAGUUGCUAGCAAAUGGAAUCAAGCAACAUAUACCCAGGACCUAAUCUACCUUCCUGUUGCACAUUAAUACUGAAAUAUAUUACAUCUCCUUCAGAACAGCAUUGCCAGAAUCUCUAAGUAGCACCUCACUAUUCUCAUCACUAUGCUACAAAAUCAGCAUACUUUAGCCAAAAGAUAAUAAUGGAUAAGAAACAACAGCAAAAAGUAUAUAACACAUUGGUUUGUUGGAACCUAGAAAGAAAGGUUCCGUGUGAUGAAGAACUUGGAAGAUUCAUGCCCCGAAUUGCUCAACUUCUGGAACGAAAAAGGAGAAGAGAUGAAGAUAACAAACUUGCCCUUUGGGAAGAGAACAUAAUGCUCAUGAAAUUAUUUUUGGCUCAAGGCUACUAGAAAUACCUAAAUAGAUAUGAAAGAUAAUUCACUGAACACUGCAGUAAUCUUAAUUCAUAAUAGACUAAAGAAGGUGGGCUAAUAAUUUUUCAUUCAGUGCUGUGAAAGUAUGUAUUCUAACAUCACAUAGAUUUGCAUAUAUUAAUUAUUUAUAUGCUGCCUCUGUCUGAGACUUGACAACACAAUAAAAGUAAUGAAACAGUAAUCGCAAAAUACAGUAAUCCCCAAAGUUGUAACAUCACAUAACAUCUCAUAAAUGUAUCAACCAACAAGCAGCUGAAACCAAUCCUAAAAUCAAAUACCCCAAAGUAACUUCUCCAAUGCCUCUGCAAAAGACGAUUAUCUUUAUAUCUUUUGUGUUUGAAUCAAAGUUUCUGAUAUAAUGUGGAGGUUAUUCAAAUUAUUCAAAUCUUACUGAAUCUCAAGUUCCUGGAAAA